GCUGCCAUGCUCAGAUCAAAAUCACAAACAAAUAAAACGAUGGGCAGCAACAUCAUAAACAAAUUUUCUGAGCUAGAUUUGAUGAUAAACACAUUCAGGAUGCUACAAUGCACAGUUGGAAUGAUAACCAGGUCUGGUAUAUGAAAGCAAAUGGAAGAAUUAACCUAGCUACAAAAUCAUAACUAGCCUCACCCCCCCACACUGAGAGUCACUCUAUCAACUUUAAACAUAAACCUAACCACAUAAAGUUACAACAGCCAUUAAUCUAGCAAAGAUGAGACUUGUUGCAUGCAGUCGAUGGGCCAGCCAAACUACUCUUGAGGAGGUCCUUGAGGAAAUGGUCCACGGCCACGACCCCCACCGCGUCCACGGCCACGUCCACGUCCUCGACCACGGCCCCUUCCUCCAUCACCUUCUGCACAGGAGAUUCAUAAGAUAACAUUGCUUAGUGGUAAUAUUCAGAGAGAAGUUGGGCAACUGGGAAAGAAUUAUUCAAAGGAAAGCCAAUUUAUAAUAUCAUCACUACUUUCUACCUUAGUCAAAGCACAAUAUUAGCAUCACAUUGAGAUUUUAAAUACUAUCUGUGGUUCUGCACAUCUCUAAUUAAGUGGUCUAGCAUUAAGUCACUAUAUUUUUUACUAGUGAUGUAUCCAUAAUAACCUCAAAAAAUUCAGAUCCAAACUCGAAAAACACAUUGAGCAACAAAAAAGACAAAUACAGCAUGAAUAGUGCAAAAACGAUACUAUUCACAUCAAGAUAAAAACUGGGGGCUGUUAGUAGAAAAUUUGAACAGAACUAACCAUAUCCUUGCACAGGAGGUCCAUUAUGCUCCAUGCCAUGAUACCCACCAGCUUCUUCAUUUACAUAGCCAUAGCCAUCACCACCAUAACCCCUUCCAGGCCCAAAGGAUCCACGCCUACCCCUUCCUCUCCCUCUGCCACG
rnacentral:lncRNA from 1 species